UACGUAGGGACCAAGCGUUGUUCGGAUUUACUGGGCGUAAAGGGCGCGUAGGCGGCUUGUCAAGUCACUUGUGAAAUCUCCGGGCUUAACUCGGAAAGGUCAACUGAUACUGUGCGACUAGAGUGCAGAAGGGGCAACUGGAAUUCUCGGUGUAGCGGUGAAAUGCGUAGAUAUCGAGAGGAACACCUGCGGCGAAGGCGGGUUGCUGGGCUGACACUGACGCUGAUGCGCGAAAGCCAGGGGAGCGAACGGG
rnacentral:rRNA from 1 species